AUGGACGUGUUAUUCAUCAUGAAU
rnacentral:miRNA from 1 species